AUGAUCCCUGUCGAUGAGCUGGGCCCUGUGCUGAGUGUCUUCCUCUGUGUAGCCCUACUGGUGGCUUGUAGCUAUUACUUCCAUUGUACAGAACUCUAUGAUCACAGCUCUUUUACUACAUCCUGCAGAGUGCCCAACCCGGUGCCUGCUUGUUACAUGAACGAACACACCUGUGAAACCAGCGAGGGCAGGCUCACAAAGCCUACCGCCCUGCAUUUGAGGGCUAUUACACCCACAGACGUAGUGUCAGCGUUGGAUUUCUUGGUUGCUACCACGUACGUACUGCAUUUGAGAAAUCAUUUAGAAGUGUGACUGCAAGAUAAAAUGUCAAUCUGACUCUGGGUUAACUGGUGUUUCUAAUUAAGCCGUGAUGUACAGUGCUUACAGCAAAAUACAGUAUGACUCCGGCGAUAAGUCAGCAAAUAGUCUGUUGCCUCCAUUAUCUCAUUCCCUGGCGUUUCCCUGAUGAGUUUAUAAAUCCCUGCGGAAUCACGGCCCCGAUCUCUUUAAUGAGGGCUUUAAAAACCAGUGGGGGCGGGAGGGAGCAUGGCAGCAGAUAAGAUCGCCUUUACUGUAUCUCUGCCUCGUAGAGCUUUCUCCCUACCUCCUGCAGCAAAGCAAAUACCAUUUGAUAGACCUCAGAGUCGAAUAAUUUCAUGUGUAUUGGCAGGGGCACGCGAUUAUGUUAAUUACUCGCACAGCCUAAGAACAUCCUGUCUUCCUUGAUCUGGUGGGAACAGAAAUGGGAACACUACUUUGUUCCAGUUAGGAGUGGGUGGCGUGGGAGAGCUUGGCUCCUGCAGCCCUGAACUCAGGGACAAUAAGCCUCUCCUGUCCAGUGUUUACUAAGUCCCUCCAAUGUGGUGAUUGCGCUGGCCCCUAGAGGCACCAUUUCUUCCUUGCUUUGUGACCUAAACACCUGUGGAUGUCACAG
rnacentral:lncRNA from 1 species